GAUGAACGCUGGCGGCGUGCCUAAUACAUGCAAGUCGAACGCGAGAGGAGGGAGCUUGCUCCCUCUGAUCGAGUGGCGGACGGGUGAGUAACACGUAGGCAACCUGCCCAUCAGCCGGGGAUAACUGCGGGAAACCGUGGCUAAUACCGGAUAAUCCUCUCCACCGCGGGGUGGGGAGUUGAAAGACGGUUUCGGCUGUCGCUGAUGGAUGGGCCUGCGGCGCAUUAGCUGGUUGGCGGGGUAACGGCCCACCAAGGCAACGAUGCGUAGCCGACCUGGGAGGGUGAGCGGCCACACUGGGACUGAGACACGGCCCAGACUCCUACGGGAGGCAGCAGUAGGGAAUCUUCCGCAAUGGACGCAAGUCUGACGGAGCAACGCCGCGUGAGUGAAGAAGGGUUUCGGCUCGUAAAACUCUGUUGUUAAGGAAGAACGCCAGGUAGAGUAACUGCUACCUGUGUGACGGUACUUAACCAGAAAGCCACGGCUAACUACGUGCCAGCCGCCGCGGUAA
rnacentral:rRNA from 1 species